rnacentral:tRNA from 1 species
GUCAGCGUGGUGUAGUGGUUUGAGCAUUAGACUGUGACUCUGGAGAUCAGGGUUCGAAUUGCUGCUUGGCCA